UGGGGAAUAUUGGACAAUGGGCGAAAGCCUGAUCCAGCCAUGCCGCGUGUGUGAAGAAGGUCUUCGGAUUGUAAAGCACUUUAAGUUGGGAGGAAGGGCAGUAAGUUAAUACCUUGCUGUUUUGACGUUACCGACAGAAUAAGCACCGACUAACUCUGUGCCAGCAGCCGCGGUAAUACAGAGGGUGCAAGCGUUAAUCGGAAUUACUGGGCGUAAAGCGCGCGUAGGUGGUUUGUUAAGUUGGAUGUGAAAGCCCCGGGCUCAACCUGGGAACUGCAUCCAAAACUGGCAAGCUAGAGUACGGUAGAGGGUGGUGGAAUUUCCUGUGUAGCGGUGAAAUGCGUAGAUAUAGGAAGGAACACCAGUGGCGAAGGCGACCACCUGGACUGAUACUGACACUGAGGUGCGAAAGCGUGGGGAGCAAACA
rnacentral:rRNA from 1 species